UUAAAAAGCUCGUAGUUGGAUCAAGAGUCGGACUGUGCACGGUGGCCCUGUUUGCCAUCUUGGGUCCUGCUCAAGUUGGCGGCAGCGGAUUCACCCCGUGCAUCAAACAGUCCGCUCUAGCAGGCCGGAACGGUUCCCUGUGAGUAGGCCCCUUCAUUGGGGUCGAAAGCGCCAACGCAUCAACCAUAUGCAUACGGGACGCCGGCCAAAGUUACUGUGAACAAACCAGCGUGUCCAAAGCAGGCCUUCGCCUGAAUGUUCGAGCAUGGAAUAACAAGGGAUCGAUUCUCUCGGUUCUUUUUGUUGGUUUUUAACCCGAGAAGGAGUAAUUCAGUCCACGGUGUCUGAGUUGGGUUCCCCUAGGCUUCGGCUUAGGCCCCAAUUAGGCCGUGUGCUUACGGGAUCAAUAGGGACUGACGGGGUCGUACGUACUUCCUCGUCAGAGGUGAAAUUCUUAGACCGCGGGAAGACGAACUUCUGCGAAAGCAUUCGGCAAGAAUGUCUUCAUUAAUCAAGAACGAGAGUGUGGGGAUCGAAGAUGAUCAGAUACCGUCGUAGUCCACUACUGUAAACAAUGCCGU
rnacentral:rRNA from 1 species